rnacentral:rRNA from 1 species
UACAGAGGUCCCGAGCGUUGUUCGGAUUUAUUGGGCGUAAAGGGUGCGUAGGCGGCGGAGUAAGUUGGGGUGUGAAAAUCCCCGGGGGCUUAACCUCGGAAUGGCAUUCAAUACUGCUUCGCUAGAGUCCGGAAGAGGUGAGUGGAAUUCCUGGUGUAGCGGUGAAAUGCGCAGAUAUCAGGAGGAACACCGAUGGCGAAGGCAGCUCACUGGGACGGUACUGACGCUGAGACGCGAAAGCGGUGGGGAGCAAACAGG